AUUCCCCAUUCCAGCCCUAGAAUAUCUCUCCUUCUUUCUCCCUCUAUCUUCAACCAACCUCCAUUACCACCACCACCACUGUAUCCCACAUGAAUCAACUCAUUGCCGUUGGCUGCCUCCGCCACUAGUCGUUUUUCCGGUGGUGGUGAUUUGAGCGUGCUUGUCGGCUGCCACCAGUCACCUGAAGCCUGCCAUCGCCCUUGGUCGUUUUUCCAAUUCUCCAUCUGUUUCAGAUGUGCUCUAAACAAUAUCUUCUACAAACCGUUUUAUCACAAAUGGUUAUCUGAUCUGAGUAUUGAAUGUCCUAUGAUUACUUUUAAAACACACAUUCAAACACCACAUUCUGUUGGUAUUCUCAGGUGAGCUUCAAGUUUAGUGGAUAAGCUCUGUUGAUACUAUUAUUAGAUGUCAUCUUCUGUUGUUGUGGAGAUGGCCAAAUGUCAACAUGUUGACUUCAGAUGAAGACAAGAAAAAAUAGCCAGAUGAAGACAAGAAGCUAUCGAGGACAACAGAAAGACGACAGGAGGUGAGGAGUUCCGACCGGCUCCCCUCUCCGACAACACCCACCAGCAGACGAACCACCCUCUUCCCUCUGCUCCGUCAAUUUCAGACCGGCGACGGCGCCGCUGCUCAUGGCGGCGGCUGUGGGUUGUGACGUUAAUCAGGAGGCGGAGCCGCUUUCCCGACAAGAACACCGGUUUUUCAAGUCGGGUUGCUCGGGUUUUUUCUAGGGAAAAAUUACCCAAUAACCGGAGGUGGCUUUGAUGGUGUGCGGGUAGAACCUCCGCAUAAGGCCCACUUGGAAUAUCAAUCUAACCUUGAUGCACGUGUUGUUCAUGACCCUUUUACCCAAAACCAAGAGCAAAAAAUCAAACUGAAAUUCACAUCACAAUCAUCCAAAGAGGGAAGGAGACAGGGAUGACCGCUGGGAGUGGUGGUACAUAAACUUAACAAACAUCCAUCCAAAGGGAGCAAGGGGCAAAGGGAUGACCAACAGGAACCAAACCUAAUUCUCUGCUUCUCAGUUUGAAUACAGUACUCAAUGAUUGAUUUUAAAAGAAAAAAUGUAAUUAUCUCUAUAAAAAAAAUUAUAGAAAUGUUACUAGUGCAGUACAGUAUUUAUUUUAAGUUGGUUUUUCAGAUGAGUUUGAGGUCAGCUUUUUGAUGA